GUGAGGAAUUUUCCGCAAUGGGCGAAAGCCUGACGGAGCAAUGCCGCGUGAAGGAUGAAGGCCUAUGGGUUGUAAACUUCUUUUCUUAGAGAAGAAUAUUGACGGUAUCUGAGGAAUAAGCAUCGGCUAACUCUGUGCCAGCAGCCGCGGUAAGACAGAGGAUGCAAGCGUUAUCCGGAAUGAUUGGGCGUAAAGCGUGCGUAGGCGGUUUUGUAAGUUAGGAGUGAAAGCCGAGGGCUCAAACUUGGAAUUGCUCUUAAAACUGCAAGGCUAGAAUCUCGGAGAGGAUAGCGGAAUUUCCAGUGUAGCAGUGAAAUGCGUAGAUAUUGGAAGGAACAACAGUGGCGUAAGCGGCUAUCUGGACGAGUAUUGACGCUGAGGCACGAAAGCGUGGGGAUCAAACAGGAUUAGAUACCCGAGUAGUCC
rnacentral:rRNA from 1 species